UGGCAGCAGCAGGGAAUAUUGCGCAAUGGACGAAAGUCUGACGCAGCGACGCCGCGUGGAGGAAGAAGGCUCUCGGGUCGUAAACUCCUUUUUCUGGGGACGAACAAUGACGGUACCCAGGGAAUAAGUCUCGGCCAACUACGUGCCAGCAGCCGCGGUAAUACGUAGGAGGCAAGCGUUAUCCGGAUUUAUUGGGCGUAAAGAGGGAGUAGGUGGCUCUUCAAGUCGGAUGUAAAAUCUUUCGGCUCAACCGGGAGGGAUCGUCCGAUACUGUUGGGCUGGAGUGCAGCAGAGGGAGCUGGAAUUCCCGGUGUAGUGGUGAAAUGCGUAGAUAUCGGGAGGAACACCAGUGGCGAAGGCGGGCUCCUGGGCUGUAACUGACACUGAUGCCCGAAAGCGUGGGGAGCGAACAGGAUUAGAUACCCCGGUAGUC
rnacentral:rRNA from 1 species